rnacentral:rRNA from 1 species
AGGACGAACGCUGGCGGCGUGCUUAACACAUGCAAGUCGAACGGUGAACCGGGCUUCGGCCUGGGGAUCAGUGGCGAACGGGUGCGUAACACGUGGGCAACCUGCCCCAGACUCAGGGAUAACCCCGGGAAACCGGGGCUAAUACCCGAUACUCCGAUCGAACCACAUGGCUCGAUCGGGAAAGCUCCGACGGUCUGGGAUGGGCCCGCGGCCUAUCAGCUUGUUGGUGGGGUAACGCCUACCAAGGCGACGACGGUAGCUGGUCUGAGAGGACGACCAGCCACACUGGAACUGAGAUACGGUCCAGACUCCUACGGGAGGCAGCAGUGGGGAAUCUUGCACAAUGGGCGAAAGCCUGAUGCAGCGACGCCGCGUGGGGGACGAAUGCCUUCGGGUUGUAAACCCCUUUCGGCAGGGACGAAGCGCAAGUGACGGUACCUGCAGAAGAAGCUCCGGCUAACACGUGCCAGCAGCCGC